AUUGAACGCUGGCGGCAGGCCUAACACAUGCAAGUCGAGCGAGUGGCGGACGGGUGAGUAAUGUAUGGGGAUCUGCCUGAUAGAGGGGGAUAACUACUGGAAACGGUAGCUAAUACCGCAUACUAUCGGAUGAACCCAUAUGGGAUUAGCUAGUAGGUGGGGUAAAGGCUCACCUAGGCGACGAUCCCUAGCUGGUCUGAGAGGAUGACCAGCCACAAUGGGAAUGAGACACGGCCCAGACUCCUACGGGAGGCAGUAGUGGGGAAUAUUGCACAAUGGGCGCAAGCCUGAUGCAGCCAUGCCGCGUGUAUGAAGAAGGCCUUAGGGUUGUAAAGUACUUUCAGCGGGGAGGCGUUACCCGCAGAAGAAGCACCGGCUAACUCCGUGCCAGCAGCCGCGGUAAUUC
rnacentral:rRNA from 1 species